CCCCCAUGGAAAAAUCACUUUGGGGUUCUUCCCUUUUCUAAUUUUUUUUUAGCUACUUCAUUCUAGAAGUACUUGGGCAUGCUAGGAAUAAAUGUGGAAAGCAGUGUAUUCCAGGUUUCCAGGAACUUCACCUACAACCUGCCACUGUCCAGAGAUCCGACAGGACUCGCAAGUGACAGAAAGCGAACAGAAAAAAAUCAUAUUGACACAGAAAAUACUGAGGGAGUGAAGAAAGAGACCAACUGCACUCUUCUACCCAUCAGCAACUUUCCCGAUUGAUUUCACCCUGAGGAAAAAUAGAUGGGUGGCAUUUGAACUUCAAAUGAAGAAUUGAUUACCCCACCUUGUAAUGGAGCGUUUCUCUCAGCGGCACCGGUUUGUCUUGCUAGUGAUUUAUCAGGGUAAUGUAAUGAGGAGACCUGAUACAACAGCACGCUUGCAUCUGGAGGAUGAAUGGAUUUACACGGCAAAACAAACCCCCGGGAUGAAAAAGGCAGAAACGCUGCGGCUGAUUUCAGUCGAGGAGGUGAAACCGGAACAUAGGAGAAAAACGAAGGCACGCUGAAACGGUCUGAAACAGUGCACCUGUACAAGGACCACUGCAGAGGUUCGCGAGCGGAUGCCGCUCGCCGCACGCAACUUGCCCGACGCGCCCAGACCCCCGCCCGGUUCGCCUUCCCGACGGCUGAUGGAGAACCCC